GAUGAACGCUGGCGGCGUGCCUAAUACAUGCAAGUCGAGCGAACGGACGAGAAGCUUGCUGCUCUGAUGUUAGCGGCGGACGGGUGAGUAACACGUGGAUAACCUACCUAUAAGACUGGGAUAACUUCGGGAAACCGGAGCUAAUACCGGAUAAUAUUUUGAACCGCAUGGUUCAAAAGUGAAAGACGGUCUUGCUGUCACUUAUAGAUGGAUCCGCGCUGCAUUAGCUAGUUGGUAAGGUAACGGCUUACCAAGGCAACGAUGCAUAGCCGACCUGAGAGGGUGAUCGGCCACACUGGAACUGAGACACGGUCCAGACUCCUACGGGAGGCAGCAGUAGGGAAUCUUCCGCAAUGGGCGAAAGCCUGACGGAGCAACGCCGAGUGAGUGAUGAAGGUCUUCGGAUCGUAAUACUCUGUUAUUAGGGAAGAACAUAUGUGUAAGUAACUGUGCACAUCUUGACGGUACCUAAUCAGAAAGCCACGGCUAACUACGUG
rnacentral:rRNA from 1 species